CCUACGGGAGGCAGCAGUGAGGAAUAUUGGUCAAUGGGCGAGAGCCUGAACCAGCCACGUCGCGUGAGGGAGUACUGCCCUAUGGGUUGUAAACCUCUUUUGUCGGGGAGCAAAAGCCGGACGUGUCCGGCUGUGAGAGUACCCGAAGAAAAAGCAUCGGCUAACUCCGUGCCAGCAGCCGCGGUAAUACGGAGGAUGCGAGCGUUAUCCGGAUUUAUUGGGUUUAAAGGGUGAGCAGGCGGAUUUUUAAGUCAGCGGUAAAAUCGUGGGGCUCAACCCCAUCCAGCCGUUGAAACUGGGGAUCUAGAGUGUGCGAGAGGUAUGCGGAAUGCGUGGUGUAGCGGUGAAAUGCAUAGAUAUCACGCAGAACCCCGAUUGCGAAGGCAGCAUACCGGUGCACAACUGACGCUCAGGCACGAAAGCGUGGGUAUCGAACAGGAUUAGAUACCCUUGUAGUC
rnacentral:rRNA from 1 species